rnacentral:rRNA from 1 species
UGCGUAACACGUAGGUGACCUGCCCGGAAGUGGGGAAUAACAGUUCGAAAGGACUGCUAAUACCGCAUACGGUCCGUGGCUCUAGAUGGCCGGGGACCAAAGGUGAUCGCAAGAUUGCCGCUUUCGGAGGGGCCUGCGGCCCAUCAGCUAGUUGGUAGGGUAAUGGCCUACCAAGGCGACGACGGGUAGGGGACCUGAGAGGGUGACCCCCCACACUGGCACUGACACACGGGCCAG